UGGGGAAUUUUGGACAAUGGACGCAAGUCUGAUCCAGCCAUGCCGCGUGCAGGAUGAAGGCCUUCGGGUUGUAAACUGCUUUUGUACGGAGCGAAAAGGUCUGCCCUAAUACGGUGGGCUCAUGACGGUACCGUAAGAAUAAGCACCGGCUAACUACGUGCCAGCAGCCGCGGUAAUACGUAGGGUGCAAGCGUUAAUCGGAAUUACUGGGCGUAAAGCGUGCGCAGGCGGUUAUGCAAGACAGAGGUGAAAUCCCCGGGCUCAACCUGGGAACUGCCUUUGUGACUGUAUAGCUAGAGUACGGUAGAGGAGGAUGGAAUUCCGCGUGUAGCAGUGAAAUGCGUAGAUAUGCGGGGGAACACCGAUGGCGAAGGCAAUCCCCUAGACCUGUACUGACGCUCAUGCACGAAAGCGUGGGGAGCAAACA
rnacentral:rRNA from 1 species